rnacentral:rRNA from 1 species
CCUACGGGCGGCAGCAGUGAGGAAUAUUGGUCAAUGGACGAGAGUCUGAACCAGCCAAGUAGCGUGAAGGAUGACUGCCCUAUGGGUUGUAAACUUCUUUUAUAUGGGAAUAAAACGUUCCACGUGUGGGAUUUUGUAUGUACCAUAUGAAUAAGGAUCGGCUAACUCCGUGCCAGCAGCCGCGGUAAUACGGAGGAUCCGAGCGUUAUCCGGAUUUAUUGGGUUUAAAGGGAGCGUAGGUGGAUUGUUAAGUCAGUUGUGAAAGUUUGCGGCUCAACCGUAAAAUUGUAGUUGAAACUGGCAGUCUUGAGUACAGUAGAGGUGGGCGGAAUUCGUGGUGUAGCGGUGAAAUGCUUAGAUAUCACGAAGAACUCCGAUUGCGAAGGCAGUUCACUGGACUGCAACUGACACUGAGGCUCGAAAGUGUGGGUAUCAAACAGGAUUAGAUACCCCAGUAGUC